AUCACAUCUGAGCACGAGACACGAGGAAAACAAACACAUGUCAGAAUGAAGCUUCUUCACAGAUGAGACAAAGGUUGAAAGAGUAAAGAAAGCGGCCACACUUUGAUUUAAAUGCGUAAAGAGCUGAGAAGAAAUCUGAAAUCAUUCUUCACAUCUGAUCGUGGUCUGCGGAGAAACACUGAAGGCUUCUGCCUGACAGGAGGACACACAGGUGAGCUUCAGCUCAGCAGAUGGAGAGUGGCUGAACUGGACCCGCACUGGUCUCACUGGGUUCACGGGAAGGCAGAAAGUGAAGAAGCAUCAAUGAAACUACGGGUGAAAUCUCUUCCCCCGAACAGGAGAGGUGCUGUGAAGACGCUUCAGCAGAAACACAGAUGAAAGGUUCAGACUUUCAAACGGACACAGUGAGAAACUAAAGCACCAGCAGGUGAGGUCAGUCCAGGUGAUCCAGGUGAAUCACCUGCUUCGUGUGGGGGGGCCACAAACUCACCUUGUUCCUGGGACGUGCCUGAGGCAGCGAACCGGACCGUCUGUGAAACCACCAUGGACAACUCUGAAGUCCCGUUCUGCACAGAGACCCUGAACACAACACACAGCAACACACGUUUGACACGUGAGUCACCUGCUUCUAACAUAAAUCCCAGAGUUCACAGGUCUUUGAUAUUUACCUUAUUUUCAUCAGCGAAGAGUUUCUGAGGCAAAUGAAGCUCCAGGAUGUCAUUUUUAGACGAAGUGUAUCCUGCAACGCAGACGGCUGCAAAACACAAGCGACUGUUUUACUGCACGAGUUUUUAAAGCUGAAACGAUCAAUCGAGUCCGAGUCGACUCAGUUGAUUUACUUUAUC